rnacentral:lncRNA from 1 species
GACCAAAAACUUAAAUUUCAGGCGCGUAGCUGCCUUUACGCAAAAAAUCAUUUGCUUGCACAUGUUUUUCACAAAAAAAAAAAUCAAAAAAAUCCUGAAAUUGAAUUUCGGAUAGUCUUUAGUCUUUCCGGAUUAUCGUGUCUGGCGGUGUCUGUACUUGCAACUACAAUCACGACACAAAGUUUAACCCCGGUAGAAAUAAAAAUAAAAAUGAAGAAGCUAGAUUUUUAUUUUAGCAAGAAGGCAGCGGAUAACGAAAGCCAAAACGUUUUAUCUAAUUCGCCCAGCAAAGAUGUAAAUGAGCCAUGUACAUCGUUUUCACAAGACGUUACUGCAAAGAAAAUAACAUUGUUUGACCCCCCUUAUCCUGAUAUAUGUCUAGCCUAACAAAUGAUGAGUUGUCAAAACAUGAAACAAAAGUCAACCUACUGCAGCAAAAAUGGGAGCCAAACUCGUAUGGAAACUAC